UGGGGAAUAUUGCACAAUGGGCGCAAGCCUGAUGCAGCCAUGCCGCGUGUGUGAAGAAGGUCUUCGGGUUGUAAAGCACUUUCAGCGGGGAGGAAGGCGUUAAGGUUAAUAACCUUGGCGAUUGACGUUACCCGCAGAAGAAGCACCGGCUAACUCCGUGCCAGCAGCCGCGGUAAUACGGAGGGUGCAAGCGUUAAUCGGAAUUACUGGGCGUAAAGCGCACGCAGGCGGUCUGUCAAGUCGGAUGUGAAAUCCCCGGGCUCAACCUGGGAACUGCAUUCGAAACUGGCAGGCUAGAGUAUUGUAGAGGGGGGUAGAAUUCCAGGUGUAGAGGUGAAAUGCGUAGAGAUCUGGAGGAAUACCGGUGGCGAAGGCGGCACCCUGGACAAAGACUGACGCUCAGGUGCGAAAGCGUGGGGAGCAAACAGG
rnacentral:rRNA from 1 species